GAUGAACGCUGGCGGCGUGCCUAAUACAUGCAAGUCGAGCGAACAGACGAGGAGCUUGCUCCUCUGACGUUAGCGGCGGACGGGUGAGUAACACGUGGAUAACCUACCUAUAAGACUGGGAUAACUUCGGGAAACCGGAGCUAAUACCGGAUAAUAUAUUGAACCGCAUGGUUCAAUAGUGAAAGACGGUUUUGCUGUCACUUAUAGAUGGAUCCGCGCCGCAUUAGCUAGUUGGUAAGGUAACGGCUUACCAAGGCAACGAUGCGUAGCCGACCUGAGAGGGUGAGCGGCCACACUGGAACUGAGACACGGUCAAGACUCCUCAGGGAGGCAGCAGUAGGGAAUCUUCCGCAAGGGGCGAAAGCCUGACGGAGCAACGCCGCGUGAGUGAUGAAGGUCUUCGGAUCGUAAAACUCUGUUAUUAGGGAAGAACAAAUGUGUAAGUAACUGUGCACGUCUUGACGGUACCUAAUCAGAAAGCCACGGCUAACUACGUG
rnacentral:rRNA from 1 species